UCAGACAAAAGGACAAACUUUAAAAGAUGCAAAUGGUAAUGUGUUGACAAGCAAGGAGUAUGUGUUUAGAAGGUGGAGGGAAUAGUUUUAGGAGUUGAUGAAUGAAAAAAAUGAGAGAGAGAAAAGGCCUUAUGAUGUGGUGAGAGUAAGUCAAGAAGUACAAG